rnacentral:rRNA from 1 species
UACGUAGGGUGCGAGCGUUGUCCGGAUUUAUUGGGCGUAAAGGGCUCGUAGGCGGUUUGUCGCGUCUGCUGUGAAAACGCGAGGCUCAACCUCGCGCCUGCAGUGGGUACGGGCAGACUAGAGUGCGGUAGGGGGAGAUUGGAAUUCCUGGUGUAGCGGUGGAAUGCGCAGAUAUCAGGAGGAACACCGAUGGCGAAGGCAGAUCUCUGGGCCGUAACUGACGCUGAGGAGCGAAAGCGUGGGGAGCGAACAGG